CCCAAGCCCGGAGCAGAAGGUCUCCGUUCCGAGCGCACUCACAUUAUUCAUGCAAAGUUAAUCCCCGCCGCGUCACGGCCGCCCGCCCGAGGAUGUGCGCCUUCCUUGGCCAAGCCCCGCAGUCUCCACCCUCCUCCGCCCCCUCCUCCCGGCGGCGGGGUCCCGGGGAGCGCAGGCGACCAGGCGUCGCGCGACUCCUACGAAAUGUCAACUCCUUGAGCGGAGAGAGGCGGCCGAAGCCAGGGCCGCGCCGGCCCUCCUCGCCACUCCACUUUUCUAGGCAUAGGAAGCGAGGUACAGUCGGGGGCCCGAGUCCCCGCCUCUCCGCGCCCCCCGCAGGCCCUGCCCGAUCCCCUCGAGCGCUGCCUUACACCGGGCCGCGCCGGCUGUGAGAACCGGUGACCUGGUUUCCCCUCCAGCCCUCCCGGCGGGCCGACUCGCGCAGCGGUGGCGGUGGCGGUGGUGGUGGUAGUGGCGGCGGCCAAGAGCAGGCAAACCCGGCUCCGCCAGGGGCGCAGCGAGGAAAUGGCCUCCUGGCCGCGCACCCCGUCGCCGCCCGGGCCGCCCGGCGGGUGCUGACGCCCUCCACCCAGCUCGGGGACCUCACUCCGACGCACUCUCCAGGCCGGCCCCUCUGGCCCGGACCCCGAGUCCUCGGCACAUGUCGCCCCCGGCCAGCCGCCUCCGCACCUGCCUGCCCCAGGUGCAGGCGCUCCCCGACCUCCCGAUCCCCGCCGUGCCCUCCGCCGCGCGCCCUCCCAGGGGUGCUGGCGUUGUCCUGGGUUUGGUGGCCACGCGCCCACCCACCCGACUGCAGGCGCGCGGAGGUUCGAGUUUGGGCGUCAUUCCUCCAGUUGGAGAAGAGGAAGGAAUGGAAUGGGGGACAGAUGCAAUUUUUUCGAACAUCUCCAACCUGUGGCUGAAUCUGCAGAUGAAGAAUCUGAGAAUGACUAUGUGUGAGGUCCGGCAAGGAGGCCAAGGUAGCCCAGGAAGAAUGGGGGAGUCAGGCAAGACUUCCUGCAGAAGGUAACUGGGUACAGAACUUUUGGAAGAGGUCAGAGAAAGGAAAAGACAGAGCUGGUGUUAUUAUUUUCAGGGCUCAAUAUGAAAUGAAAAUGUGGAACCCUUUAUUCAAAAAAUCAGAAAUAAAGUACCACAGAUGCUACA
rnacentral:lncRNA from 1 species